UACGUAGGGGGCAAGCGUUGUCCGGAAUCAUUGGGCGUAAAGAGCGUGUAGGCGGCCAUGUAGGUCCGGUGUGAAAACUCGAGGCUUAACCUCGAGAUGUCAUCGGAAACCAUUUGGCUAGAGUCCGGAAGAGGAGAGUGGAAUUCCUGGUGUAGCGGUGAAAUGCGCAGAUAUCAGGAAGAACACCCGUGGCGAAGGCGGCUCUCUGGGACGGUACUGACGCUGAGACGCGAAAGCGUGGGGAGCGAACAGG
rnacentral:rRNA from 1 species